AUUGAACGCUGGCGGCAGGCCUAACACAUGCAAGUCGAACGAGUGGCGGACGGGUGAGUAAUGUCUGGGAAACUGCCCGAUGGCGGGGGAGAACUACUGGAAACGGUAGCUAAUACCGCAUACACUCGGAUGUGCCCAGAUGGGAUGAGCUUGUAGGUGAGGUAACGGCUCACCUAGGCGACGAUCCCUAGCUGGUCUGAGAGGAUGACCAGUCACACUGGAACUGAGACACGGUCCAGGCUCCUACGGGAGGCAUAAGUGGGGAAUAUUGGACAAUGGGCGAAAGCCUGAUCCAGCCAUGCCGCGUGUGUGAAGAAGGUCUUCGGAUUGUAAAGCACUUUAAGUUGGGAGGCGUUACCAACAGAAUAAGCACCGGCUAACUUCGUGCCAGCAGCCGCGGUAAUUC
rnacentral:rRNA from 1 species